CAGCGCCACAAGUGGCAAUCACGUUUAUUGGGCCUAAAGCGUCCGUAGCCGGUUUAGCAAAUCUUUUGUGAAAUCGUCAGGCUUAACUUGACGAAUUGCAGAAGACACUACUAAACUAGGGACUGGGAGGAGUCAGAAGUAUUCUGGGGGGACCGGUAAAAUGGUAUAAUCCCCAGAGGACUACCGAUGGCGAAGGCAUCUGACCAGAACAGAUCCGACGGUGAGGGACGAAAGCCAGGGGAGCAAACCGGAUUAGAUACCCGCGUAGUCC
rnacentral:rRNA from 1 species